AUAUGGGUACUCUAAUACACUAUACUACUGGUAUAUGGGUACUCUAAUAUACUAUCACUAUACCACUGGUAUUCUGGUACUCUAAUACACUAUACUACUGGUAUUCUGGUACUCUAAUACACUAUACUACUGGUAUUCUGGUACUCUAAUAUACUAUACUACUGGUAUACUGGUACUCUAAUACACUAUACUAUUGGUAUACUGGUACUCUAAUACACUAUACUACUGGUAUACUGGUACUCUAAUACACUAUACUAUUGGUAUUCUUGGUACUCUAAUACACUAUCACUAUACCACUGGUACUCUGUGAAAACCAGUAGCAUGGACAAGAUAGAAUAAAUCAGUUAUUUAUUCAGAUGUGGCUCUGGGCUUAGCUAUACCAAACUAUAGAAACUAACGGAGCAUGGCUUUGUGUCCGUAGUCAUACCUUUACAAUGCAGAACACAGGUCGUCUGUCUCCCAACCCGUUAGAAUCGAAAAACAGAUUUUACAGCUACAUUUUCUUCUUUCUGGCACAGAUUCAUGGGACGAUCUUAAAGUGGUACACACAAAUUAUCAAUACAUACUUUGACAAUUUCAACAUAAACCCUAUUUAAUGUGCAAAUAAAAAAUGCACAGAAAAUGGAUUGUUUGCAGUAUGGAUGAGAUGAGAUGGAGGUCAUUACCACCAAAAUAAAUGAUUAGGCCUUUUUUAGGUGUGACGCAGAAUGUCACAUCACAUCAACGUGUGCCAGGGCUAAAAAAGGUUUGGGAACCACUGCUUCGUAGAAUACCUGUUUGAUGUCCUGUCAAAUGGAGAAGGUGCAGGUAUAGAAGUUACCACUAGGUGGACUCAGAGAAGCACUCAGUGACAGUUACUGCCAAGUUCCUAUGGUCUGAUUGAACAGCAGUAGCUUAUCAGAACUGUGUAGACAGCUGACCGCUGUCACUAUAUACUUAUACGGGUUACAAACUGCAACCCGCUUUGAGUAAGAAAUCAUGAAUGUAUUCACAUGAAAUGCCUUGGUCCGCAGCGGGUCUCUCGGUGAACAGGGUAGACUUGGAAAGGGGGCUGGGCCUUUUUGCGGUACGCUUUUAAGUCUCCGAUUGUCCGAAAUGGUUCCAAUAAGUCUUCUACUUUUGUCCUUCUUCGUAGUUGUCUGGUAUUCGGUGUUGUGAAGUCCUGAACAGAACUAGAGAGUUGAUUUUCCUUCCAAUUCGCUCUUGAAGAUGCUUCUUUGAAGAUAGGCUAGCUGGCCGUAUCAAUGGUUCAAUGUGGUGACGAGAGUCGCGUAACACGAUGGUUUGAGCAGACUAACAGGAAGGUCCUACUUAAAUUUGCUUUCGAAGAUACUUUAUUUAGGACAGCUAAUCAGCUGUACCAGAGAUUGUCCUGGAGGUGAGUUUAUCGUUUCCACCUAGUGUUGAGAGUCAAAGUUCAAACCACUUUAAACAAGCAGCUGCAGCAUAAUGUUUUAUGGUCUAACAUGGUCUUUUGCUUGAAAGGGGUGGUUCCGGCAGGGUGACACGUUCUCUGGGCGGUGACUGCUCACUGUACAAAGUUGUGGAAAACAAUGAUCUCUUAUAGAUUCUAAAAUCACAUCCCUCUUUUAAAAAAAAAACACUUUCAAAAUUGUUCAUAUUAUAUGCACAAUGCAUAGUAUGGAAACCUCAUAUAUGUAGUGGCUAUACUUUCCAAGUUACAGUAUUUCCUUUAUAAUAUUUUUAACGACAUCACAAAAUAACAAACAAAAUGACAUUAGUGUUCUAUAGAUGACCUCUGACCAUUUCCCACGUUCUAUGUUAGAAAUAUAGUUCCAGUAGUUGCUUUUGAACGUGUUAGAGUUUCUGCAGGAAAAGGUCUGUGGAGACAAAGCACAUUCCUUUGGUGAAUUUGGAGAGGGCAGGCCUGGAUCUUCUCCCUUGAUUUACAACAGGACGUGAGUUGUUAAUCCCCUCUAGUUCUUUCCUUCCCCCUCUACGGGUGAGAGGAGGUCUGAUUGAAGUUAUUCAUUGCAAACCUGAUCUGAACUAUUUGGAUUCUACUGGACAGUCAUGACAUUGUGUUUCUUGGCCCAGCAAGUCUCUUCUUCUUAUUGGUGUCCUUUAGUAAUGGUUUCUUUGCAGCAAUUCAACCAUGAAGGCCUGAUUCACACAGUCUCCUCUGAACAGUUGAUGUUGAGAUGUGUCUGUUACUUGAACUCUGUGAAGCAUUUAUUUGGGCUGCAAUUUCUGAGGAUGGAACUCUAAUGAACGUAUCCUCUGCAGCAGAUGCAACUCUGGGUCCUUUCUGAUGGCGAUCCUCAUAAGAGCCAGUUUCAUCAUAGCGCUUGAUGGUUUUUGCGACUGCACUUUUGCGGAUUGACUGACCUUCAUGUCUUAAAGUAAUGAUGGACUGUCGUUCUUGCCAUAAUAUGGACUUUUACCAAAUAGGACUAUAUUCUGUAUACCACCCCUACCUUGUCACAACACAACUGAUUGGCUCAAACGCAUUAAGAAGGAAAGAAAUUCCACAAAUUAACUUUUAACAAGGCACACCUGUUAAAUUAAAUGCAUUCCAGGUGAUUACCUCAUGAAGAUGGUUGAGAGAAUGCCAAGUGUGUGCAAAGCUGUCAUCAAGGCAAAGGGUGGCUACUUUGAAGAAUCUCAAAAAUAAAAUAUAUUUGGGUUACUACAUGAGUCCAUAUGUGCUAUUUCAUAGUUUUGACGUCUUCACUAUUAUUCUACAAUGUAGAAAAUAGUAACAAAUAAAGUAAAACCCCGGAAUGAGUAGGUGUGUCCAAACCUUUGACUGGUAGUGUAACCUGACCAAAAAUAUAAACAGAACAUGUAAAGUGUUGGUCUCAUGUUUCAUGAGCUGAAAUAAAAGACCCCAGAAAUGUUCCAUAUGCACAAAAAGCUUAUUUCUCUCAAAUUUUGUGCACAUCCCUGUUAGUGAGCAUUUCUCCUUUGAUAAUCCAUCCUCCUGACAGGUGUGGCAUAUGAAGAAUCUGAUUAAACAGCAUGAUAAUUACACAGGUGCACCUUAUGUUGGGGACAAUAAAAGGCCACUCUAAAAUGUGUAGUUUUGUCACACAACACAAUGCCACAGAUGUCUCAAGUUUUGAGGUAGCAUGCAAUUGGCAUGCUGACUGCAGGAAUAUCCACCAGAGAAUUGAAUGUUAAUUUCUCUACCAUAAGCCAACUCCAAUGUCAUUUUAGAGAAUUUGGCAGUACGUAGAACCAACCUCACAAACGCAGACCACUUGUGACCACACAGACACGUCAUAAAAACAGCUCCAGGAAUCUGAGGGCCCGGGAAUAGGCUCAUUGAUGAUACAACGUUGGAAGUUCGCUAGCAACAGCUUCUCGACAGAUCCAGUCGAUGAUUUGAUACAAUGUUGCACUUCACUAGCAAGAGGUCAAGACCGUUAGAAAGGGAGACAGACAGGCGGAGAAGAUAGAUGAAUAUGAAUGAAAGAACCAGAAUUUUCAUCAGGAUGUCGGCUUCAGGCCGAUGUAUUUGACUUAGUUAACGAUGGAAGUUAUAG
ensembl:lncRNA